GGGGAUUCAGUCACGUGUCCGGUGGACACUCUAUGGCCCCACGCUGGCCAGGACGAUAGGCAGGA
rnacentral:tRNA from 1 species